UACGUAGGUGGCAAGCGUUGUCCGGAUUUACUGGGUGUAAAGGGCGUGUAGCCGGGCUUACAAGUCAGAUGUGAAAUCCGGGGGCUCAACCCCCGAACUGCAUUUGAAACUGUAGGUCUUGAGUAUCGGAGAGGCAGGCGGAAUUCCUAGUGUAGCGGUGAAAUGCGUAGAUAUUAGGAGGAACACCAGUGGCGAAGGCGGCUUACUGGACUGUAACUGACGUUGAGGCUCGAAAGCGUGGGGAGCAAACAGG
rnacentral:rRNA from 1 species